UUUCGGGGUUCCUGGGUGUCACGCAGAUUUCGGUGGAACCUCCAAAUGAUAGAACCUAGUGAGGAAACCCCCACUCAAUUUCUGAUUUGGCGUGCACCCAAAAAAUCACUAAUAGAC
rnacentral:pre_miRNA from 7 species